CCCCUUCUCUCUCUCUGCCCCCCACCCCCACUUAUGCUCUGUGUCUCUCUCAAAAAUAAAAACAUUAAAAAAUGGAAAAAAAUCUUCCCAUGUAUUUCUUUUAAUGUAUGACUCCUUUCAUGAUUGAGGAAAUACUUGUUUAUGGUGAAUAAUUCAUAGAACACAAAAAUGAAAGCUAUGGCUCUCUAUAAAUCUUCAUUCCAAAGAUGUAUCCACAUAAAGAUAGCACACAAUGUGUCUGGUAUAACACACACACACACACACACACACACACACGAUAUUAUUUUUCUUAAAGAUUUUUAUGUUGUUUAUGUAAUCUCUACACCCAACGUGGGGCUCGAACCCACAACCCCGAGAUCAAGAGUCGCAUGCUCUAUUGACUGAGCCAGCCAGGCACACCCACACAUAUGAUUUUAGAAGUAACUUUUUUCACUUUUUCACUUGGUAUAAUGUGGGUAUUUUCCCAUGAUAAUGCAAAACAUAUACACACACACACACACACACACACAUAUAUAUGUAUAUGUUUCCUCAUUUUUAACAAUACUUAAUUGAAGCAUAAUACUUCAUACUAGGGUUUCUUGAAUUUUUGUAACCAAUCCCUAUGAAUUGACAUUGAGAUAGUUUUUGUUUUCUUUUUCAUCAUUGGAAUUUACUGUUUGACACUUGUGCAAAAUAUCUCCAUAAGAUGAACGCCUAGAAAGAAUCCUUUGGGACCAUAUAAUGUCCAUGUUUAAAAUUUUGAUAAUUAUUGCUAAGUAAUCCUCCAAAAAAGGAUGAUUUACAGGACUCCUGGAAGUGUAUACAAAUGCCUACUUGUUCCCCCAUUUUCUUCAAAACUUACGCACUAUUAGCCUUUUAAAAAUAUUUCUAAUAAGUAAAUAUGUCCUCUCAAUAGUGAGAUUAAUGGUCUUUUAUGUGUUUGUUGACGUUUAGCCUUUGAAUUGCUUUUUUCUGUAUUUUGCCCGCUUUUAAUUGGGCUGCUUUUUUAUAUUGAUUUAUAGGAACAAGUCUUUAUUACACGUAUUCACCUUUUGGCAUAUACAUUAGAAAUAUUUUCUCCUGAUUUGUUGUUGCCCUUUCAAUUUUGCUUGUGAUGUAUUUUGCUAUACAGAAUUUAAAAAUCUUUAGGUGUUCAAAUCUAUUUGUAUUUUCUCUUAUAGUUCUUUGGCCUAGUAUCAGCCUACUUAAGGAAGGCCUUCCUCACCCCCAAGAUUAUGAAAAAGAUUAUCCUAUAUUUUAUUCUCGUACUUUUAUGACUUUUUGACAAUUAAAUUUUUAUUCCAUCUGCAUUUUAAUUUUUGUUUUUUUAAAUGUUUAUUUGGUUUUGAAAGAGAGAGUGCACAAGCAGGGGAGGUGCAGCAGGGGGAGAGGCAGGGACAGAAGAUCUGAAGUGGGUUCCGUGGUGACAACAGAGAGCCGAAUGUGGGACUGGAACUCACGAACCAUGAGAUCAUGACCAAAGCCGAAGCCGGACACUCAACCAACUGAGCCACCUAGGUGCCCCUCCAUCUGCAUUUUUGAACACGUCCUAUGAAUAGUUUAAGACUAUAUUACCAAGGACGCCUGGGUUUCAAGUACAGAAAACUCAAAAUAGCUCAAACCAUAGGGAUAAUAUACUUACCCAAGUAGCCAAAAGGACCCAAAGCAAGGCAUUCAUCCUGUUUAUCCUGGCACUUCUGGAUGCCUUCAACGGCAAGUAAAAGAAAACCCCAACUCAGAUUGUCAUAAACACUGGAAAGAAUAAAUCUACAGGUGUCCGCAUGCCGCCACCGGCUUGGGUUCCACAGAGUGGCCACCUUCUGCCCGCCUGAGACACCGGCUGCCUGCGCCAGGACCCUCCUCACCCACCUAUCUCAAUCAACACCCCUUAAGCCUCUCAAGCACGACUG